rnacentral:lncRNA from 1 species
UUUAUUUGAGAGGUAAGUCCAUAAAGCUCUAGCAGCUGAGUGGGAAAUGAUACAGGAAAGGGAACAGAACCAAGAAGGGUAUGUUAUUGAAUUUAUUCUUACUGGACAACUGGGACUCAAUGCUGCUGAAGUUUGGUGGCUAGAGUAGAUCAUAGCCCAGAGUUUUCCCAGCUAAGAGGUUAAACUGAAGAAUUUAUCCAUCAGAUCCUAUUAGUUACUGAUAGAGGGAUUCUGAGGGUGGGAAGAGUGUCAUAAUGCCUCAGUUCUUCUGGUGUCUACCUUGGGCACAGACUGAGUGGGCUCCAGUGAUUAGAGAAAGCCUCUUGGGAAGAGUUCCAGGGCUCCUGUUUGUAAAACUUUCAGUCGGCCUUCCUUGGAGUAUAUAUGACAUGGUGGAAACAAGUGGAACAAUGAUGAAGCAAAUAUAGUCAUAUUUCACACACACACAGUACCCAUCAGAAAAUAUAAUAAUCACCAUCUUAUGCAAGAACAAUAUCAGAAACAAUUGGGGGAGUAAACCAAGGAGAAAUGCAAGCAGAAAAAAGGCAGAGAAAUAUCAAUACAUUAUGAUUAUCAUGGUUUUUGUUUUUAUUGUUUCAGAUUCUUAAUUUGGCACUCAAGACUUUCAGAAAUCCAGCCCUAGUUUAUCUUUCUGGCAUCAUCUCUUCCUAUUUCAGAACACGUAUUUUUACAUCAGUAAAACUAGUUUACUGGGUUUCUUUUUAACUUUUUCAGUGUUUUCUUCUUUUUAACUUUUCAUGUGCUCUGGCCCUUACAUGUAUUUGUAAUAUCUUCCCCAUUUAUGACCAGGUCUAGGAAAUUCUUCCCAUUUCCAAACACUCAGCAACAUUACCCCUUCUUGGAUUCUACGUCAGACAUAAUCUCUUUCUCCUCAGAACUCCUUUGUUCUUACUAUGUGUAUUGAAAUAGGUUCAUUUUGCCAUUGAUAAUUGUGUGUCUCUUAGCUAAGAACUGAAGCAAUGGGAGAAGUGAAAUAGUCAAGGCAGGAUAUGUACAUGGCAAAAAGAAGAAUGCUAAAAAUGGAUUUCUAGAACAUACCAAUGAAAGCAUUUAGAAUUAGCUCAUGUCCCUGCUUUUCACUAUAUUUUCUUUCUUUGCUUAAUAUAUGAACAAAUAUUCACCUUUCUUUUAUCUGUCUCAAUGGACCACUUGAGCUGAUACGUAUGAGUUAAUCUAGUCUGUGUCCCUAAAGCAAAUAUUUUCUACAGGUCUGUCACAAAUUGGACCAAAAGGAUGCCCCCAUUUCAAAAGAACUGUCUUGUUUUUCAAAUGUGCUUUUCUUUAAGAUACAGAUACACAUUGCUUGGACAUAUGCAUGCCCUGAUCUCAUCUACAAACACUACUGUCCAUUUUGGCUAAUGAAAUAAAUAAAAUACCAUCAAUUUUCA